CCAAGAGUCCACAUCGACGGGGAGGUUUGGCACCUCGAUGUCGGCUCAUCACAUCCUGGGGCUGUAGUAGGUCCCAAGGGUUGGGCUGUUCGCCCAUUAAAGUGGUACGCGAGCUGGGUUCAGAACGUCGUGAGACAGUUCGGUCCCUAUCCGUCGCAGGCGUAGGAAAUUUGAGAAGACCUGUCCUUAGUACGAGAGGACCGGGAUGGACGUACCUCUGGUGUACCAGUUGUCCUGCCAAGGGCAUGGCUGGGUAGCUAUGUACGGAAUGGAUAAGCGCUGAAAGCAUCUAAGCGCGAAGCCAACUUCAAGAUAAGAUUUCCCACCGCAAGGGUAAGACCCCAGAAAGACUAUCUGGUUGAUAGGUCGAAGGUGUAAGUGCAGCAAUGUAUUUAGCUUAUCGAUACUAAUAGGUCGAGGACUUGACCAAU
rnacentral:rRNA from 1 species